UACGGAGGGUGCGAGCGUUGUCCGGAAUCACUGGGCGUAAAGGGCGCGUAGGCGGGCGGACAAGUCUCUCGUGAAAGCCCACGGCUCAACCGUGGAAUUGCGGGAGAUACUGUCUGUCUUGAGUCCGGGAGAGGAGGGUGGAAUUCCCAGUGUAGCGGUGAAAUGCGUAGAUAUUGGGAGGAACACCGGUGGCGAAGGCGGCUCUCUGGACCGGUACUGACGCUGAGGCGCGAAAGCUAGGGGAGCAAACGGG
rnacentral:rRNA from 1 species